UACAGAGGGUGCAAGCGUUGUUCGGAAUUAUUGGGCGUAAAGGGCGCGUAGGCGGUGCUGUAAGUCUGUAGUGAAAUCUCUGGGCUCAACUCAGAGUCUGCUAUAGAAACUGCAGUGCUGGAGUGUGGGAGAGGUGAGUGGAAUUCCUGGUGUAGCGGUGAAAUGCGUAGAUAUCUGGAGGAAUACCGGUGGCGAAGGCGGCAUCCUGGACCGACAUUGACGCUGAGGAGCGAAAGCUAGGGGAGCAAACGGG
rnacentral:rRNA from 1 species